rnacentral:rRNA from 1 species
UAGAUUAAAUAUUUUAGGUAGAGCCUGCUCACUGAUAUUUAAAAGCCGCAGUAUCCUAACUGUGCUAAGGUAGCAUAAUCAUUAGUUAUUUAAUUUGUAGCUAGAAUGAACGGCCUGACAAAAUAGUACCUUUAUUAUUUUCAUAUUAAAUUGAUCUAAAAAUAAAAAAGUUUUUAUAAAUUAGAAAGACGAUAAGACCCUAAAACCUUUAUAAAAAAUUUAUUUUACUGGGGCGGUAGUUUAUACCUCAUAAAUAUAACUAACACUCUGAAUGAUAUUAACUAUCUUCUUCGAUGCAAAAAGGUACUUUAGGGAUAACAGCAUAAUUUUUAUUUAGAGACCUUAUCGACAUAAAAGAUUAUGACCUCGAUGUUGAAUUGAUUAAACUUUUUUAGGCAGCCCUAAAACCAGUAGGUCUGUUCGACCUUAAAAUGAUCACGUGAUCUGAGUUAGACCGGG